GGGCGAUUAGCUCAGGUGGCUAGAGUACUUGCUUGACAUGCAAGGGGUCACUGGUUCAAGUCCAGUAUCGCCCA
rnacentral:tRNA from 1 species